rnacentral:lncRNA from 1 species
UUUCAAUUCAAUAAUAAUAAUAAUAAUUAAAAACUGUUACGUUAAUUAUUAAUUAUAUUAUAUAUAGGUCUUAUAUAUGUACAACCCCUUGGUGCACAUGUGAGUUUGAGAUUUCAAUCUGAGUGGAUUCUAUCUAUUGCACAUGAAGAAGUCUUACCAUUCUUUGUCACGAUAGGUAAGCAAGCACAAAUAAAGUCCUUCAUAUUGUCAGAUUUCUGUUUCUUGGUAAGACUUUAGUGGUUCAUAUAACUUAUUACUAUAUUUUGUUAUUCCUUCAUCGUCAAUUACUUUAGUUCCUGAAAUUGAAUUGUUUGCAUAUGGUAUAAACUUUGUUGUACACCAGUCUUAAUUUGUUUGAUAUAGUUGGUAUAAAAUUUGUUUGAUAUAUUGGUGGGAAGAAGUUUGGUUACAUUGUUAAGAAUGAUGCAGAUAAAUUGUUUGGAUGGCUCAUAGAGGUUGGUGAUGAAGUGGGAGCUGUCGAUAGCCAUGGAUGGCAAGGGUGGCAGCUAGGGUUAGGAGCGACGUCCUAAAUUAGAAGAGGGGGAGCUGAACCGUUUCAAACUGAUACCAUAUAGAAAGAUGAAUUGUAAAAUGAAAUUGUUAAUUUCUAUUAGUUUGAGUUGUGUAUAUAUACAGAUUAACAUUAUAUCUUUGUAAAAGAAACUUGAGUUGUUCUCAUGUAAGC